AUCAUCUUCUUCAUUGGGCUGAAAUUUCAAGGUUUCUCCAUAGCUAAGUUUGUUCCAAGCUUCCAAGCUCCAUAAUCAAGAAGAACAAAAUCCGGAGUUAGACCGGGGAAAGAAAAAGAUAGUGGACUAAAUCGAUAUAGUUGAUCGUAUUUUGUUUCGAGUUUUGUCAAGCUAACUCGGGGAUCGUAAAGUACGUCGGAGGUCCGGGCACACUAUCACGAGGAUUAUUUUGGUAUAGCUAGACGUUUUAUUUUGAGUAUGGCAUGUAUAACAUCGUAGCCAGUUUGUGUGUAUAAUCUUAUGAUAUAGCUAAUGAAUCGUAUGUAAAUGCUUGAUAAUCAUUAGCUGUUGGAAUGGCUAAUCAAGGACAUGUUUGGUGUUAUGUAUGCCUAAAUGCUAGUUAUUCCAUGGAAAUCAUGAAAAAUGUGAAAUUAGCUUUAAAAUAGUA